GCACGGGGAACAGCGUGUGUGAGGGUCCCGCCAUGUCUCAGCCCUUUCCUGGCCCCUGCACUUAGCCUUCGGUGCCCAUCUUCAGGGUCAGGGGAAGCCCAGGCCAAAGCGGGCCGGGAAGGGGCCCUGUGGAUAAGGCCGAGAGCCUGUCCCAAAAUAGGGCCGGCAGGAUUUCCCACCCAUAAAAGGCUCUUGGAAUCUGGACCCCGGGGACCCCAGGCAGCCAGGCCCAGCUAAAACUCAGCUGCCACCACUGCCCCAGCACUCUGCCCACAGCAGCCCUGGUGCCACCACCCUGCAGAAUCCUGUCAGACAACCACCGACAUGACAAAGGGUUCUUCAACUGCGAUGGUUUCCUGGCACUAAUGGGAGUUUACCAUGAGAAGGCCCAGAACCAGGAGAGCGAGCUGAGGGCGGCAUUCCGUGUCUUCGACAAAGAGGGCAAGGGCUACAUUGACUGGAACACACUCAAGUACGUGCUAAUGAAUGCAGGGGAGCCCCUCAACGAGGUGGAGGCGGAGCAGAUGAUGAAGGAGGCCGACAAGGAUGGGGACGGGACCAUCGACUAUG
rnacentral:sRNA from 1 species